GACGAACGCUGGCGGCGCGCUUAACACAUGCAAGUCGAACGUGAAGCUCGGAGCUUGCUCCGGGUGGAAAGUGGCGAACGGGUGAGGAACACGUGAGAAACCUGCCCCGAAGACCGGGAUAACACCGGGAAACCGGUGCUAAUACCGGAUGCCCUCGCCGGACCGCAUGGUCUGGUGAGGAAAUGGAUUCCGCUUCGGGAUGGUCUCGCGGCCUAUCAGCUUGUUGGUGGGGUAACGGCCCACCAAGGCUU
rnacentral:rRNA from 1 species